AUGUUCUACAGGAAAAAUAUCAGGAAAUAUUACAACAACAAACAUUGACUUAGUUUGAUAUUGAUCAGUGUCAAGCAUAUUAUCAAGCCGCGAGAGGAGAAAAGAAAAGAAGAGUGUACGGUCUUGGAUCUCAAGCAAAAUGCUACUAUGGUCAGAAUCUUCGUGAUUCUUUUGGAUUUGAUGCUGCAUCUUCAGGAGUACCUCCGAAUACUCAAUCAACACCAACAGGAAAUCUGGAUGAGUUUGUGAUGUGUUUGAUUCUUGUAUUGAUAGAGCAUGUAAUUCCUGUGAUCGUUAAGUGGGUACGAGGAUUAGCUUCUUUGCCCUCGCAUUAGCCAAAUACUGAUCUUACCAACCACCCACCAUUUGUGAUACCUACAGUUCCUACCUCUCCUACUGCUGCUAACUUUGAUGAGGUUCAUGCAUUGGGUUCCGAUGAUUAAAGAAUGGAACUCCACUACCCCUAGUAAAGUAACCCAAACUUGAAACUGAUCGAUGUUGUUGAUAUGCCAUAACCCACUACCCAAUUUGGUUAGAAGAUGCAGGAGAACUAAAGGAAUAUUACUUAGACGAGGAAAUAGCUAGCCUAUUUUGUUUGAUCCGUAACACUCUAGCCUCGCAAUAGUUAGCCUAUUUUGUUUGGAUUUGAUGGUGCUUGUGGAUGGUUUGUACUUAACGAUACAAUUGUAUGCAUUAUGCUAUAUCGUU